AUCUCCAGGAGACCAGCGCUUUAUUCAUUUUGACAUCAUUGUCGUCAUGGAUGUAGCCAGGGUACGCUUCAUUGCCGCUGCCAUAUGCCAGAGCCGGCAAUGAACUCCUGGAUGACAGUGGAAGCCAUGUUGUUGUUUUGUUUGUUCCCAGCCCUGACUAUGGUCUUCGAGCGAGUCCGACAUGUUGUUCAUCUGACUAUGUUCAUCCAGCGAGUCCAGUAUGUUCAUGACAGGAGCAGGUAGUUUGUGAUCACAUGGAAGGAGCUUGUAAAGUAGUACUGUAUUACAUGUAGAGCUUGCUACACUUGUAGAGCUUGUAAAGCAGUAUGGUCCUCUGUAUUGGAACGGAUAGAGCUUGUAUUAUGUGAUCUGGUUGCUCUUAUUUAAGUAUCAUGUGUGUUUUUGUC